rnacentral:lncRNA from 1 species
CGCCACCCGCCGCCGCACUGGAGGGAUUUCUGACCGCCGAUCGAGGUAAAUUUCAUACCCCCGACUCGUUUUUCCACGCUGAUUUCCCCUGUGGCCAAAUCGGAGCCAAAAUCUUGGCCAAACGACCGAAGCCCAGCGGCGCCGCCGCAUCCCUCCUCGAUUUUUUCCUCCGAUGAGGCCCUUCCUGGCCUCCGUUUAAUGCAAUUUUUAUAUUACCGUGAUCACCAUUCUUUUCUCUACAGGUUGAUCGGAGCUGAAUCACUAAAACACGAAUUUCACCGGAGAGCCGUCGCACCCGAGAGCACCGCCGCCGGUAAGCUUCGGUUUUCCGUAAUUUUUUGGCCCCUCGAGGGCCCUAGAGUUGUUUAAUCACAAU